AGUGAACGCUGGCGGUAGGCCUAACACAUGCAAGUCGAACGGCAGCACAGUAAGAGCUUGCUCUUACGGGUGGCGAGUGGCGGACGGGUGAGGAAUACAUCGGAAUCUACUUUUUCGUGGGGGAUAACGUAGGGAAACUUACGCUAAUACCGCAUACGACCUACGGGUGAAAGCAGGGGAUCAUCGGACCUUGCGCGAUUGAAUGAGCCGAUGUCGGAUUAGCUAGUUGGCGGGGUAAAGGCCCACCAAGGCGACGAUCCGUAGCUGGUCUGAGAGGAUGAUCAGCCACACUGGAACUGAGACACGGUCCAGACUCCUACGGGAGGCAGCAGUGGGGAAUAUUGGACAAUGGGCGCAAGCCUGAUCCAGCCAUACCGCGUGGGUGAAGAAGGCCUUCGGGUUGUAAAGCCCUUUUGUCGGGAAAGAAAAGCAGCAGGUUAAUACCCCGCUGUUCUGACGGUACCCAAAGAAUAAGCACCGGCUAACUUCGUG
rnacentral:rRNA from 1 species